rnacentral:pre_miRNA from 1 species
CUAUUACUCCCUCCGUUCGGAAUUACUUGUCGUAGAAAUGGAUGUAUCUAGACAUUUUUUAGUUCUAGAUACAUCCAUUUCUGUGACAAGUAAUUCGGAACGGAGGGAGUACCUA